rnacentral:rRNA from 1 species
AUGAACGUUGGCGGCGUGAUUAAGGCAUGCAAGUCAAGGGGGCUCCGCAAGGAGCAACCGGCAAACGGGUGAGUAACACACUGGUAACCUACCUUCGAGACGGGGACAACCGCGCGAAAGCGUGGCUAAUACCCGAUGGUCAUGGGGGGUCAUAUGACAUUCCCAUGUAAAUCUUUUUUGGCUCGAAGAGGGGCCUAUGGCUUAUCAGCUAGUUGGUAGGGUAAAAGCCUACCAAGGCUAUGACGAGUAGCAGGCGUGAGAGCGUGACCUGCCUCACUGGGACUGAGACACUGCCCAGACACCUACGGGUGGCUGCAGUCAUGAAUAUUCCGCAAUGGACGAAAGUCUGACGGAGCGACGCCGCGUGUAGGAAGAAGCCCUUCGGGGUGUAAACUACUUUUAUAGGGGACGAAUUCGUGACGGUACCCUAUGAAUAAGUGGUUGCUAACUCUGU